rnacentral:rRNA from 1 species
CAACGCCGCGUGGAGGAUGAAGUAUCUCGGUACGUAAACUCCUUCCGAUGGGGAAGAUAAUCGACCGGUACCCCAUACGAAGAAGCCCGGCUAACUUCGGUGC